AUGUUGGUGGGGAAACUACAGUUUGAUUCUGUUAAGUAUUCAGAAGCAAAUUUGCAGUGGAUGAAUAAACCAGUGAGGGGCAGCAGGUUUUCACAUGGAAAAUAUUACUGCCUUUCAUGUUCAAGGAAAUACGGAGCUAUUUUCUCAUGAAGCAUGAGAUGUUCUAACAUCCUAAC
rnacentral:lncRNA from 1 species